CCUCUCUGCAAUUAGUCGUGAAGUUGAAGGAGCUCCAAACUCCGCAGGCGCACUCAGGGCCUCCUGCUCCUAUGGCUGGUUUUCAGGACCCUUCGCUCACAGAAUAUGCCCUCAUCUGAGUCAUUUGGGAUAUUGGGACCAUUCUCAGUUCAUUUCUCUAUGAGGCCGAGAUGUCUUCCCUGCUAACCGCGGGAUGGAGGAGGUGGCCGCAGCCCAUCUCAACUCGAUCCCUGCGGGAAUGAAGGCCUCAGGAUGCAGGAGACAUGGCUCUGGGCCAGGCUGAGGGCCAGAAGAUCAAACUCCCAACCUAGGCUGGCUUCGGUGUGCCCCUGUCCAUCACUCUGGGCCUCAGUUUCCCCAAAGCAAGCCCAUCAGAUAAGAUGGUCUCUAAAGACUAUAAACCCCACAUGGAGAAGGACCCUGUCUACCUUCUCCACUGGGAUUUCCAUUCCCCAGCACCUGCCGCCAUGGCUGGCACAUAGCAGGCUGGCUUCCUGACUGACUGAAUGCUGGUGCACUGGGGCCUGCCUCACCGAUAAAACCCCCGGCCCAGGGAUUGUGGAACUGCCCAUGACAGAUCGCUGCUCCAGCCUGCACUGCCUCUGAUGACAUCGUCUGGAACCGUUCAUUCCACUCAGCAUUCCGCAGAAGCCAGGCCCAGCAACAGGCUCAUUUAGGAUGUGCUACAAGGGACAGAAGCAUCCAAGUCACUUACUCUUCCUCCCUCGUCUUUCCCUCUCUUACCCAAGGACCACCUUCUCAGCAGGGGGAUGGGCCAUAGACAGAAACAGGGGCAAAGUGGGGGGGUCUAGAGGAUUAUUCAUGGGUACCAUCUGCCUGUGAGCUCCCAGGCCCUUCCCCAUACAAGGGCUGUCUCUAGGUGUCAGUUUCACAUGGGAAUUACCUGACUGGAAUCUGGAGUCAGACCAGGCCUGAGUUCAGAUCCAGUCCUAUUACUUACUGGAGUAAGUAAUUACUUUGAGCCUCAGUUUCUUCAGCUGUAAAUCGGGGAUGAUGAUGAUAAUCUCACCUCCCUCACAGAGUUACUGGGCACUGUUUUUAUUUAUGAAAGCCUGCUUCAUUUGUCUGCCUGGCUGUUUUCCCCCACCAGUCCCAGGGUGCCGUGCCCUUUCCAGGGAGCACGCACUGAGGCCCAGAAGCAGCCCAUGGGGUGCAGCAAGAGGUUGCUAUGGGGAGCCCAGGCCUCUUGCAAGAGGGCCCCAGGCCUCAGAAGCGGCAGGCCUGAUGCGGGUUGUAUCAAGUCAAUGCUCCGGCAGCAGCUACAUGUUCUGGCGUUUACCACGAGCCAGCUGCAGUUGUGAGUAGGUGCCGUGUGACGACUCAUCUAAUGCUCAGGGCAGUCCUGAGGGUAGGUGCUAUCUGCACCCUUCUUGGAAAGAUGAAGAAACUCCUCACCUGUAAGAUGAGAGUGAAGCGAGCAGCUCAAGGCCAUGCAGCUGUCAGGCAUAGGAGCUAUGGUCUGAACCCGCCUAAUCUGGCUCCUGGGCCACAUGCCACCACUGUGCCACAUUGUCCUUUGCCACCACAGCUGUCCUCACUCCACCCCUCCCCUGUAGAUUCUUCCCAGACCUGUUGCCCAUUCCCUCUGCUCUCCUACCUUGUCUCAUCUCUUCCCAUCUGUUUCUCUCUAUCUCCCCUCUUUCCUUCCUUCCCCCCUCUCUUACUCUCUCCCGUCUUUCCCUCUCUGUUCCUCUACCUCAGGUAACUGUGCCACCUUAGAUAGGGAGGGGGGCAGAAGUAGGGGGCCCUGG